rnacentral:rRNA from 1 species
UACGAAGGGGGCGAGCGUUGUUCGGAAUUACUGGGCGUAAAGGGCGCGCAGGCGGCCCUUGAAGUCAGGCGUGAAGCCCCGGCCUCAACCUGGGAAUGGCAAUGGAUACUGGCAAGCUAGAGUGCGGUAGAGGGUAGUGGAAUUCCCGGUGUAGCGGUGAAAUGCGUAGAGCAUCGGGAGGAACACCGGUGGCGAAGGCGGGUCUCUGGGCAGUAACUGACGCUGAGGAGCGAAAGCGUGGGGAGCGAACAGG